GACGAACGCUGGCGGCGUGCUUAAUACAUGCAAGUCGAGCGGUGAACCCGACUGAAAGCCUUCGGGCUUGACGUUGGGGGAUCAGCGGCGGAUGGGUGAGUAACGCGUGGGUACCUGCCCUAAAGUCUGGGAUAACAACUCGAAAGGGUUGCUAAUACCGGAUGUGACCGAGAGGUUAAAGGCAGAGAUGUCGCUUUAGGAUGGGCCCGCGUCCCAUUAGCUAGUUGGUGAGGUAAGGGCUCACCAAGGCUGCGAUGGGUAGCCGGCCUGAGAGGGUGGACGGCCACACUGGGACUGAGACACGGCCCAGACUCCUACGGGAGGCAGCAGUGGGGAAUAUUGGACAAUGGGCGCAAGCCUGAUCCAGCAAUGCCGCGUGGAUGAAGAAGGUCUUCGGAUUGUAAAGUCCUUUCGGCGGGGACGAUGAUGACGGUACCCGCAGAAGAAGCCCCGGCUAACUUCGUG
rnacentral:rRNA from 1 species